GUGAAGGGGGAGGAGUCACACUGCCUCCGUUGACAAAGUUUGUCCUGCUGAUGAAGCACUUUGUCAUUGGAAUUUAUCUUGACGUAUUAUUUUGUAGACUUGUAUUAUUUGUAUGUGUCAAAGGGACACCCUAGAACAGACCGUACCAGUCUGUGGAUCACUUGGUACCGGGCCGCCAAGCCACACAGGAAAAAAAAAAAAGAUCGACGAUCAAUUAAUUCAGGUCAAGACGCUCGUCCCGGUCACUUGACAAGUUUCCCCAGUCAAGCCCGCAAAGCUAGCAAAAAUGAGUAUGAAUUUAUUUUGAAAAAUACAUAUUAAUAUUG